rnacentral:lncRNA from 1 species
CUGCAGUAAGCUAUCGUAGCUCCCUGGUCAUCUGAGCAUGAGAGUACAGGGUUUUCAACCUCUAUGCCUAUGUUUUGAAGGGAAAAUUAUCUGGUAUAUGAUUCUUACUCGAAGGGUUAAAACGGAAAAAAAUCUGAAAACGAGCAUAUCAAAGAUUUUCAAAAAGGACUUGCAUGAAGUUGCGAUAAAAAAUUAAACAAGCGAG